GGACGAACGCUGGCGGCGUGCUUAACACAUGCAAGUCGAGCGGGAGGAAAAGAGAAGCUUGCUUUUUUUUGAAUCUAGUGGCAAACGGGUGAGUAACACGUAAACAACCUGCCUUCAGGAUGGGGACAACAGACGGAAACGACUGCUAAUACCGAAUGUGUUCCGGAGACCGCAUGAUUUCCGGAAGAAAGGAUGGCCUCUAUUUAUAAGCUAUCGCCUGAAGAGGGGUUUGCGUCUGAUUAGGCAGUUGGUGAGGUAACGGCCCACCAAACCUACGAUCAGUAGCCGGUCUGAGAGGAUGAACGGCCACACUGGAACUGAGACACGGUCCAGACUCCUACGGGAGGCAGCAGUGGGGAAUCUUCCGCAAUGGACGAAAGUCUGACGGAGCAACGCCGCGUGAGUGAUGACGGCCUUCGGGUUGUAAAGCUCUGUGAUCGGGGACGAAUGGCUGGUAUGCUAAUACCAUAUCAGAGUGACGGUACCCGAAUAGCAAGUCACGGCUAACUACGUGCCAGCAGCCGCGGUAAUACGUAGGUGGCAAGCGUUGUCCGGAAUUAUUGGGCGUAAAGCGCGCGCAGGCGGCUUCUUAAGUCCAUCUUAAAAGUGCGGGGCUUAACCCCGUGAUGGGAUGGAAACUGGGAGGCUGGAGUAUCGGAGAGGAAAGUGGAAUUCCUAGUGUAGCGGUGAAAUGCGUAGAGAUUAGGAAGA
rnacentral:rRNA from 1 species